GGUAUCUUCAUCUCACCGAGAUGACAGUGCAGUGCAGCAGAGCCUAUGAGAAGCAGGACCACGCCAGACGUGACUGGUCUGCUCCACUGGUUGGCACAGCAGGCUUUGUCACGGACCGCAGUGGAUGUUGGGACAUUGCCCCAUGCGCACUUUACAGCAUCUUCAUUCCUGAUGGGGCCUGGUAAUCUGUGAGAAAUGAACUUCAAUUGCUUUUUCUGCGAGUGCUGAAAACUUACUUUUACAUCACUGGAGGGCCCUGGCAAAGCACAUGUCAAGGACCUGCAGGGAAUGCUGAAACAGACGGAGCAGGUGCCUCCUUGCGGUGUGUGAGCUCGGGAGAUGGCUCAGCAUUUGCUUUCUGUGAUGGUCAAGUGCUUCUUGACAUCCAGGGCCCUGACAGUCUGGGAGAUUCGGAGUGAGUUUGCCAAUUCGCAGCUUUUACUUGGAAAAGCAAAUCAUGACCGAGGACCAUCAAGAAAAGAAUUCCCAAUAUUCACAUGCUCAGCUCUGAUCUUCUCAUUUAUAUCCUGCGUUUUCAGACACAGAGAGCAAGAUUAAAAAAAAAAAAAAAAGUGCCAACAGACAUUGGAGACACAAGGCCAGUGGUGUUCAGCUGCCUUUUGGUGAGAAUAACAAUUCUCAGUUUCUCGGUUAUAAACACCAACUUAUGACAACACAGCAUUGGAACUAUAUUAAGAUUGAAAAUAAUUCUUUUUUUUAAAAAGAUAUCAUUGGAGAAAAUGGAAAGAGAAGAGAAA